rnacentral:rRNA from 1 species
UACGUAGGAUGCAAGCGUUGUCCGGAAUUACUGGGCGUAAAGCGUGCGUAGGCGGUUCGUUAAGUCUGUCGUGAAAGCCCUGGGCUCAACCUGGGAAUUGCGAUGGAUACUGGCGAGCUAGAGUACGGUAGGAGGAUGGUGGAAUUCCCGGUGUAGCGGUGAAAUGCGUAGAGAUCGGGAGGAACACCCGUGGCGAAGGCGGCCAUCUGGACCGAGUACUGACGCUGGAGGCACGGAAAGCGUGGGAGCAAACAGG